ACUCCUACGGGAGGCAGCAGUGAGGAAUAUUGGUCAAUGGGCGCAAGCCUGAACCAGCCAUGCCGCGUGCAGGAAGACUGCCUUAUGGGUUGUAAACUGCUUUUAUAUGGGAAGAAACCCCUCUACGUGUAGAGGCUUGACGGUACCAUAAGAAUAAGCACCGGCUAACUCCGUGCCAGCAGCCGCGGUAAUACGUAGGGUGCAAGCGUUGUCCGGAUUUAUUGGGUUUAAAGGGUGCGUAGGCGGGCUAUUAAGUCAGUGGUGAAAUCCAGCAGCUUAACUGUUGAUGUGCCAUUGAUACUGGUAGUCUUGAGUACAGAUGAGGUAGGCGGAAUUGACAGUGUAGCGGUGAAAUGCAUAGAUAUUGUCAAGAACUCCGAUAGCGAAGGCAGCUUACUGGGCUGUAACUGACGCUGAUGCACGAAAGUGUGGGGAUCAAACAGGAUUAGAUACCCUGGUAGGAUAGCGU
rnacentral:rRNA from 1 species